AUGCUCCGCGCCGGGAGUCGCCUCCUCUGCCGGGGGUGUUGCGCCGGAGGGCGCUGCCUCCCUGCAGAGCUGAGGUCGUGCCAUGGCCACCACUUCGCGGGCUGCGCGCCUCUCUGUGAGCGGGCGCGGCCGUGGCCGUGGUCCCCUGCGCUCGUAGGGGCAAGGCCGAGGGCCAGGCGCGGGGUGUGCCGGGAGGAACGGCCGCACCUUUUGCUCGUUGCGCGUGCGUCGGAUGGCGCAGCCGAGGGCUCGACCACCGCAGUGCUUUGCGACGAGGCUGAACUCCACGCCGUGGGGAGCCGUGCAAGAGGGCUGUCGUCAGUCUCGCGGGCGGGCGCGCGCGAGGGCGGCCACGGUGAUGGACGGAGCGCGGGAGCGCGGCCACGGGCGGGGCGCAGGUGGCCACGCGCGCGGCCUGGGGCUGCCGGCUGUAUGGCGCGGUUGCGUCGUACGCCAGUGCCAGGGGCCGAUGAUACGGCACCGUUGCUGAUGCUAAUGCUUUCUACAGAGUGGAAAAACACGGUGAAGAACCUUUUUUCUUCUCAUGUGGUGGCUUUUUGCAUCAGUCUGUUGAUUGAUCUUCUGGCCUUGAUGAUCUUUGAAUCAAUGGAUGCCAACGCCCACUUAUUCUGUUGUCGAUUCAGGAAUAGAGUCGACGGCGGCUGGGUUGACGCCCUGUUUCUUCUGAUUUUGGCCGAACACCUAUGA
rnacentral:rRNA from 1 species